rnacentral:rRNA from 1 species
GGCCUUGCGCUCUUUGAGCGGCCGAUGUCAGAUUAGCUAGUUGGUGAGGUAAAGGCUUACCAAGGCGACGAUCUGUAGCGGGUCUGAGAGGAUGAUCCGCCACACUGGAACUGAGACACGGUCCAGACUCCUACGGGAGGCAGCAGGGGAAUUUUGGACAAUGGGGGCAACCCUGAUCCAGCCAUGCCGCGUGAGUGAAGAAGGCCUUCGGGUUGUAAAGCUCUUUCGGCCGGGAAGAAAUCGCAUGGGCCAAUACCCUGUGUGGAUGACGGUACCGGAAUAAGAAGCACCGGCUAACUACGUGCCAGCAGCCGCGGUAAUACGUAGGGUGCGAGCGUUAAUCGGAAUUACUGGGCGUAAAGCGUGCGCAGGCGGUUUUGUAAGACAGGCGUGAAAUCCCCGGGCUUAACCUGGGAACUGCGUUUGUGACUGCAAGGCUAGAGUACGGCAGAGGGGGGUGGAAUUCCACGUGUAGCAGUGAAAUGCGUAGAGAUGUGGAGGAACACCAAUGGCGAAGGCAGCCCCCUGGGUCGAUACUGACGCUCAUGCACGAAAGCGUGGGUAGCAAACAGGAUUAGAUACCCUGGUAGUCCACGCCCUAAACUAUGUCAACUAGGUGUUGGGUGGGUAAAACCAUUUAGUACCGUAGCUAACGCGUGAAGUUGACCGCCUGGGGAGUACGGCCGCAAGGUUAAAACUCAAAGGAAUUGACGGGGACCCGCACAAGCGGUGGAUGAUGUGGAUUAAUUCGAUGCAACGCGAAAAACCUUACCUACCCUUGACAUGCCAGGAACUUGCCAGAGAUGGCUUGGUGCCCGAAAGGGAGCCUGGACACAGGUGCUGCAUGGCUGUUGUCAGCUCGUGUCGUGAGAUGUUGGGUUAAGUCCCGCAACGAGCGCAACCCUUGUCGUUAAUUGCCAUCAUUUAGUUGGGCACUUUAACGAGACUGCCGGUGACAAACCGGAGGAAGGUGGGGAUGACGUCAAGUCCUCAUGGCCCUUAUGGGUAGGGCUUCACACGUCAUACAAUGGUCGGUACAAAGGGUUGCCAAGCCGCGAGGCGGAGCCAAUCCCAGAAAGCCGAUCGUAGUCCGGAUUGCAGGCUGCAACUCGCCUGCAUGAAGUCGGAAUCGCUAGUAAUCGUGGAUCAGCAUGUCACGGUGAAUACGUUCCCGGGUCUUGUACACACCGCCCGUCACACCAUGGGAGCGGGUUCCGCCAGAAGUAGGUAGCCUAACCGCAAGGGGGGCGCUUACCACGGCGGGGUUCGUGACUGGGGUGAAGUCGUAACAAGGUA